UACGAAGGGGGCUAGCGUUGCUCGGAAUUACUGGGCGUAAAGGGCGCGUAGGCGGAUAGUUUAGUCAGAGGUGAAAGCCCAGGGCUCAACCUUGGAAUUGCCUUUGAUACUGGCUAUCUUGAGUACGGGAGAGGUGUGUGGAACUCCGAGUGUAGAGGUGAAAUUCGUAGAUAUUCGGAAGAACACCAGUGGCGAAGGCGACACACUGGACCGUUACUGACGCUGAGGCGCGAAAGCGUGGGGAGCAAACAGG
rnacentral:rRNA from 1 species